rnacentral:rRNA from 1 species
CACGUAGGGCGCGAGCGUUGUCCGGAAUUACUGGGCGUAAAGCGUGCGCAGGCGGUUCGUUGUGUCGGUGGUGAAAGCCCCGGGCUUAACCUGGGAAUGGCCAUGGAAACUGGCGAACUGGAGUGUGGCAGAGGGGGGUGGAAUUCCGCGUGUAGCAGUGAAAUGCGUAGAGAUGCGGAGGAACACCGAUGGCGAAGGCAGCCCCCUGGGCUAGCACUGACGCUCAGGCACGAAAGCGUGGGGAGCAAACAGG